UGAACAGCAACUUGGAGGAAUGUAUAGCAAUAGCUACUUGCGUCAUUGUCAUGAUGAUGCAAGAUUGAUUAUGUCGAAUAAAAUUCUAGGUAGAAUUAUGAUAAUGACAUUGUCUGCCUAUGUGUCUUGACCAAAUUACGUGCCAGCAGUCGCGGUAAUACGUAGAAGACUAGUGUUAUUCAUGUUUAAUCGGUUUAAAGGGUACCUAGACGGUAGAUCAAGCCUUCGAACAGAAAAAUAGAUAGGGACUAAUUUACUAGAGUUACUUAUGAGGGGGUAUUAAAGUACUGCUGGUGUAGAGAUGAAAUUCUGUAAUACCUCUUUUCUAUGGAAAAACAAUGGCACAGGUAUAGGCGAAAGCAUCCCCUUAUGUGAUAACUGACGUUGAGGGACGAAGGCUUUAUGUAGCGAUCAGGAUUAGAUACCCUAGUAGUUGAAGCAGAAAACGAUGAAUGUCAUAGAUUAGAUAUAUAAGUUUAUUCUAUAAAUGAAAGUGUAAGCAUUCCACCUCAAGAGUAAUUUGGCAACAUUGGAACUGAAAUCAUUAGACCGUUUCUGAAACCAGUAGUGAAGUAUGUUGUUUAAUUUGAUGAUCCGCAAAAAACCUUACCACAAUUUGAAUAUUUAUAUUAUAUUAUUGUUUUUCUUUUCUUUUUUAGAAAAAGAAAAAAAAGGCAAUAACAUAUUUUUACAAGCGUUGCACGGCUGUCUUCAGUUAAUGUCGCGAGACUGUGGUUAGUUCCAUUAAUUAACGUAAACCCUUACUUUAUUUUUAUAUAAAGUAGUUCCCCGCUAGAUUGGAUAUGAUAACAGGGACUAAGACAAGUCAUCAUGACCUAUAUAU
rnacentral:rRNA from 1 species